rnacentral:rRNA from 1 species
GAUGAACGCUAGCGAUAGGCUUAACACAUGCAAGUCGAGGGGCAGCACAAGGUAGCUUGCUAUCUGGGUGGCGACCGGCGCACGGGUGCGUAACGCGUAUGCAACUUGCCCUAUACAGGAGGAUAACCCGUCGAAAGACGGACUAAUACUGCGUAUGCUCACAACUUGGCAUCAAGUGGUGAGGAAAGAAAUUCGGUAUAGGAUAGGCAUGCGUCCCAUUAGCUUGUUGGUGAGGUAACGGCUCACCAAGGCAACGAUGGGUAGGGGAACUGAGAGGUUUACCCCCCACACUGGUACUGCGACACGGACCAGAAUCCUACGGGAGGCAGCAGUAAGGAAUAUUGGUCGAGGGGCGCGAGCCUGAACCAGCCAAGUCGCGUGAAGGAUGACUGUCUUAGGGAUUGUAAACUUCUUUUAAACGGGAAUAACAAGAGUCACGUGUGACUCCCUGCAUGUACCGUAUGAAUAAGCAUCGGCUAACUCCGUG